UACGGAGGGUGCAAGCGUUAUCCGGAAUCAUUGGGUUUAAAGGGUCCGCAGGCGGACUUAUAAGUCAGUGGUGAAAGCCUACAGCUUAACUGUAGAACUGCCAUUGAUACUGUAAGUCUUGAAUUCGGUCGAAGUGGGCGGAAUGUGACAUGUAGCGGUGAAAUGCUUAGAUAUGUCACAGAACACCGAUAGCGAAGGCAGCUCACUAGGCCUGGAUUGACGCUCAUGGACGAAAGCGUGGGGAGCAAACAGG
rnacentral:rRNA from 1 species